CCUACGGGUGGCAGCAGUGAGGAAUAUUGGGCAAUGGACGAGAGUCUGAACCAGCCAAGUAGCGUGAAGGAUGACUGCCCUAUGGGUUGUAAACUUUUUGUAUAUGGGAAUAAACUGUUCCACGUGUGGGCUUUUGUAUGUACCAUAUGAAUAAGGAUCGGCUAACUCCGGGCCAGCAGCCGCGGUAAUACGGAGGAUGCGAGCGUUAUGCGGAUUGAUUGGGUUUAAAGGGAGCGUAGGUGGAUUGUUAAGUCAGUUGUGAAAGUUUGCGGCUCAACCCUAAAAUUGCAGUUGAAACUGGCAGGCUUGAGUACAGUAGAGGUGGGUAGAAUUCGAGGUGUAGCGGUGAAAUGCUUAGAUAUCUCGAAGAACACCGAUGGCGAAGGCAGCUCACUGGAC
rnacentral:rRNA from 1 species